AAAUGUAAUUCACUAGGAAAUUGAAGACUUUUUAGGGAAGUUGGUAGGCUUAGUUCAGGUGGACACAGACUAGCAGCUUGAUAGUUUGUGCUAACACAAAAGUGCUAACUUACCUUAUGUUUCGUCAUCGUGGUGUUCCUUAUCCGUUCAAUUCAGUGAAUUACUCAAAAAAAAAAAAAAAAAAAAAAAACAAACACAACUUUAUAUACAGCUAAAAUAUAAGCCGUCUUGUGGCAUAACUGCUUGCGUUUUAGGAACCUAUGCUCCUAUCUGUUAUUUCAGUCAAACAUUUUCGUCGAUGAUAUGUUUUGAACAAAACGCCAUGCCGCGUUUAAUCACCUGAUUUGCUACACUCGACGUCAGCGUCGCGUCCAGACGGCGCCAUUUUUUUUUUUAUUUUUAAAGGUAACUUGACUGCUAAUGAGGAGAAAAGUGUCAGGAAAGAGAACGGCUCGGCUGACACAUUCAGUGCGCAAGAGUAUCAUAUGGCUUCACAGAAUUGGACUAUCUCUAGUAAUAUCUCAACUAUUUGAAAUACUACCUUAGAGAGAUCUUCUAGAUGUGUGUUGCAGUGGCAUGAAGAUUUCCACAUCAAGGGAGCAGUGGCAGUGAUGGAAUCAAAGGCUCGCCUGUGGCUUUGAACCCUCCUGAUGAAGAGAUGAAAAGGGCCAGGUUUUUUGCUGGAGCUCCUCGCGCUUCUCCACUCCAGUUUCUGUCUGGCCAGUGUGAUUGAUGCCAGAUUCCCUGAAGUUCAUGCUCUCCUAAAAUGCCGAAAUGGCCAGUGGCCCAGCUGGGCUCUCAGAGACGCUUUGCGGGUGUGCAGAGAAGUGAUAGACACACACCAGUGGCUGCAAGUGUUGCAGAACUCGAGAGGAAUGAGAGAACAGGAUAAAAAGUUCUGUUUUUCUGCAUUUCAGCAUCUGUGCAACCAGAAACCUACAUAGAUGAUGCAACCAGAUGGCGAAAUUGCUUAGCUGUCUGUGAAAGAACAAAAAAGUACAAAGGUAAGCACCCUUACUUCAAUUUAUCUCCUGCACAUCGUGUAUUGGGUUACGUGCGUUAGUUUGUGUAAUAAGUAUUCUACUUGUGACCUCUAGAUGCCGCUAAGAGCACAAUGAACAUUUCCUGCUGCAUUUCUGUUACAGUGGCGUUUAUGGAUCAGGGAUUUUUCUCUCUCCCUCUCCCUUCUACUUAGUGCCCUCAUGACAGCGUGAUAAACUACUUAAUAUCGUUUCACAUGGUGUGUUGAUGCAGCUGAUCCUUUUUUACACAAAGUAGCGAGUGAUUGAAACCCGCACUGAAUCGAGACAUUUCGAUGACUCAGUCGUGCCAGCAAUCGAAACUGUCGUGUGAGGUGAUUGUGAAUUUUCGUUUGGAGUCUGUGAGUGAUACACAUGUGUCCUUUCAUAACGUAAUGAAAACGGUAACGUCUUGUGUGCUUUUUAAAUCGUAGUCUUUAUGUUAGUACUCGUUUUUAUUGGUCAUAAAAGUGUAUUGCAGAUACGUGGUGUGAGGAAGCUUGCACCUGCACCAAACACGGAUGCGCGUGCAGCGUGAUGAGGUUGAAAAUGGAAUGGAAAUACUAUAGUGUUAUUUCGUGAGACAUCCCAAAGGCUUUUAUUUAUUUAUUUUCCUGUCUAGAGUCUCAGAGGUAUGCCUCGGUGUUGCCAAAUCACAAAAAAAUAUAUAUAAUCAAGCUAGAGUCACUGUCUUUCAUAACCAUAAAAACAAGGUAGUGGUCUUUUAACUAAAUGAUUGCAAUAGUUAAGUGUUUUGCAUAGUCAAUCAUACAUAUAACUCAGUAGAUAAAUCCCUCGGGUUCACCGAUGUUAGAACUUCGCCUGACUGUUGAUGAAGCACAUUGUGUGUGUAGUAUAAAUACACUGCACACUGCAAUCAGCAAGUUUCCAGUGUUCUUUGACCCCUAUGUUCUUUGACCUAGUGUAUACCAGCAACAGCCAUAAACAUAAUUUACAUUGGCUGUUGCCAAACACGUAGCUACUAUUUAAUACAUAGCACACAGAACUACUUUCCGAGGCCCUGUUUAUUAUUCACCUGGUAUUAAAAUGCAUUUUGGUCUGAAGAGGGCGUUCCUGUUUACACCUGGUGUGAUUUUGGUGUAUCUAAGCAGUUUGCUUGUUUCUGAUUUUUUUUUUUUUUUUUAGUUAAAUUGUUAAAUAAGCUCGUGCAAUUUACGUAAAAAUGCUAGAUAACACCAAAAAAAAAGAACAUUCUAAGAGCUGCUAGGUUUUUUUUAUGUUCUGAUAGCUGUAAAACUAUACCAACUGUUUAUUUUGACAGAAUCAGAACUUUAUAAGAGAUCAUUGUGCUUUUAACAUUGUUUUUCUAAAACCCAAUUCCUUCUGGUUAUCGC
ensembl:lincRNA